rnacentral:rRNA from 1 species
UACAGAGGGGGCAAGCGUUGUUCGGAAUUACUGGGCGUAAAGGGCUCGUAGGUGGCCAACUAAGUCAGACGUGAAAUCCCUCGGCUUAACCGGGGAACUGCGUCUGAUACUGGAUGGCUAGAGAUUGGGAGAGGGAUGCGGAAUUCCAGAUGUAGCGGUGAAAUGCGUAGAUAUCUGGAGGAACACCGGUGGCGAAGGCGGCAUCCUGGACCGGCAUUGACGCUGAGGCGCGAAAGCCAGGGGAGCAAACGGG